CCGGGGCAUCCCGGAGGCAGGAAAGGCUUCGGCCGGACAGGGAUGGGCAUGCGGCGCAUUAGGCAGUAGGCGGGGUAACGGCCCACCUAACCGACGAUGCGUAGGGGUUCUGAGAGGAAGGUCCCCCACACUGGUACUGAGACACGGACCAGACUCCUACGGGAGGCAGCAGUGAGGAAUAUUGGUCAAUGGUCGGGAGACUGAACCAGCCAAGCCGCGUGAGGGAUGAAGGUACAGAGUAUCGUAAACCUCUUUUGUCAGGGAACAAAGGCGGGGACGUGUCCCCGGAUGAGUGUACCUGAAGAAAAAGCAUCGGCUAACUCCGUGCCAGCAGCCGCGGUAAUACGGAGGAUGCGAGCGUUAUCCGGAUUUAUUGGGUUUAAAGGGUGCGCAGGCGGUCUGUUAAGUCAGCGGUCAAAGCCCGGGGCUCAACCCCGGUCCGCCGUUGAAACUGGCAGUCUCGAGUUGGAGAGAAGUAUGCGGAAUGCGCGGUGUAGCGGUGAAAUGCAUAGAUAUCGCGCAGAACUCCGAUUGCGAAGGCAGCAUGCCGGCUCCACACUGACGCUGAGGCACGAAAGCGUGGGUAUCGAACAGGAUUAGAUACCCUGGUAGUCCACGCAGUAAACGAUGAAUGCUGGCUGUCCGGG
rnacentral:rRNA from 1 species